rnacentral:tRNA from 1 species
UGAGAUGUUAGUAAAACAAUUGCGUAGUCUUGUCAAGACUAAAUUACAGGUGAAACCCUGUACACCUCAC